rnacentral:rRNA from 1 species
GACAGAGGGGGCAAGCGUUGCUCGGAAUUACUGGGCGUAAAGGGCGCGUAGGCGGGAUGGCAAGUCGGUCGUGAGAUCCCUCGGCUCAACCGAGGAACGUCGAUCGAUACUGCUGUUCUUGAGGAUUGCAGAGGAGACUGGAAUUCCCGGUGUAGCGGUGAAAUGUGUAGAGAUCGGGAGGAACACCGGUGGCGAAGGCGGGUCUCUGGGCAAUUCCUGACGCUGAGGCGCGAAAGCGUGGGGAGCAAACGGG